AAUUUUAUAUGGACUUAAAAAAUUGGACUUGAACUCUUGCUCUCACCCCCGCCUCCUUCCAUUUCACCCCAAAAAUAUUCAGCUUUCUCAAGCUACCGAUCCGCCACCUCCUUCCAUCAAUAACAACCACCACCCGCCACCUAAGCCGCUUGACCCACACGCCACCGGCACCCUCUCUCCUCUCUCUACAACCUCCGACCAUCAGAUGCCCACCAAACUGCUGGAAACGGCACCAAUUCCCAUCCAAAAUCGCUAGUGUAGUGGCGAUUUUUUCCCAGUUACUUCCAUAUCCGACCAAUCUCUCGAUUGUAAAGCACCAUCACAACAUUCCUCUCAACCAGGCACAUCUAGUUUUACCAUGGGUCGCCCUCAAUUUUGUCCGGAAUCGGCUGAGCAAAAAUUUGGGUCCAACAAAUUUGAUGAGUUAGUUUAACGAUUGAUUUUCAUGAAUUUAUCUUUUUUUGGUUACUUAUUCUCUGUAUUUGUGCUAUUUUAUUAUAGGAAUGGAUUCAUGACGUUGGCAAUCCAGAGGUCCAAGCACUGAGAACAUCGUAAUUAAGGUAAAAUAGUUGUUUACUAUAUUUGAUUUGAAUAUUAUCGAGAACUUUAUGACUUCUGUAAAAAAUCCACGAGUAAUUCUCUUUAAUGCGUAAACAGUUUUCUUUUAUUAGAUUGAUAACUAUGUGUGCAUCUUUACUGCUGAGUUUUGGUAAAGGAAUCAAGGUUAUACCUUGUUACAUAUUUUCCUUUAAAUUUGCCUGGUCCGUGUUUUGUGUUUGUAAAAUUUGGAUGUUUUAACAUUAUGUUCAUUAGCUCAAUUCUAUUGCAUCUUUUUGGAUAAAUUCUGAAGUUGGAGAAGGUUUCUAUGGGUUUCCUGAAGAAGAAAUUAAAGAUGUUGAUAC
rnacentral:lncRNA from 1 species